GAUGAACGCUAGCGGCAGGCCUAACACAUGCAAGUCGAGGGAUGAGUGGAGCUUGCUCCAUGAUUCAGCGGCGGACGGGUGAGUAAUGCCUAGGAAUCUGCCUGGUAGUGGGGGACAGCGUUUCGAAAGGAACGCUAAUACCGCAUACGUCCUACGGGAGAAAGCAGGGGACCUUCGGGCCUUGCGCUAUCAGAUGAGCCUAGGUCGGAUUAGCUAGUAGGUGAGGUAAAGGCUCACCUAGGCGACGAUCCGUAACUGGUCUGAGAGGAUGAUCAGUCACACUGGAACUGAGACACGGUCCAGACUCCUACGGGAGGCAGCAGUGGGGAAUAUUGGACAAUGGGCGAAAGCCUGAUCCAGCCAUGCCGCGUGUGUGAAGAAGGUCUUCGGAUUGUAAAGCACUUUAAGUUGGGAGGAAGGGCAGUAAGUUAAUACCUUGCUGUUUUGACGUUACCAACAGAAUAAGCACCGGCUAACUUCGUGCCAGCAGCCGCCGUAAUAC
rnacentral:rRNA from 1 species